rnacentral:rRNA from 1 species
AAAGAUGCGUUCUUCCAAGAGCUAUUAAGCCUGAAACCACAACAGGGUACAAGGUGGCUCGUCGCAGGUGAUUUUAAUCAGAUUUACCGUGCCUGCGACAAAAACCGCUCAAAUGUUGACCGUAGUCGCCUUGUUCGCUUCCGAAACGCCCUCAACUCAUCUGGGCUAAAAGAGAUACAUCUACAGAAUAGGAAAUAUACAUGGAGCAAUGAGCAGACCAACCCGACACUGAGCAAGUUAGAUAGUUUUUUCUGUAAUGAUGAUUGGGAUGUUGACUUUGGCUCUCACAUCCUUCAUGCACUAUCAUCCUCGCUCUCCGAUCACUGCCCGCUACUACUAACUUGCAACAAGGGCCCGAAGCGACCAAAAACCUUUCGCUUUGAAAAUUUCUGGGUCAGGAUGCCUAAUUUCCAGAAAACGGUCAUUGAUGCUUGGAAUGAAGAGAUGACCCACACGGAGCCAUACCAGAUACUCUUCCACAAGCUUAAACGCACGAGCCAACGACUGCGGACCUGGAGCAAGGCUAUCUUCUCUAACCACAAAGUCCAGCUACACAUGGCUCUCGAGAUCAUUCUUCGCCUUGACGUCGCGCAAGAGCUAAGGACACUCAGCCCGGCUGAGUGGAACCUUAGAAAGGAGCUGAAAAGGAAAGUCCUGGCCUUGGCGGUUCUUGAACGAGCACGGAAAAGGCAAAGCUCGCGAAUCACGUUGCUCAAAGAGGGAGAUGCU